rnacentral:rRNA from 1 species
GAUGAACGCUGGCGGCGUGCCUAAUACAUGCAAGUCGAGCGAACAGACGAGGAGCUUGCUCCUCUGACGUUAGCGGCGGACGGGUGAGUAACACGUGGAUAACCUACCUAUAAGACUGGGAUAACUUCGGGAAACCGGAGCUAAUACCGGAUAAUAUAUUGAACCGCAUGGUUCAAUAGUGAAAGACGGUUUUGCUGUCACUUAUAGAUGGAUCCGCGCCGCAUUAGCUAGUUGGUAAGGUAACGGCUUACCAAGGCAACGAUGCGUAGCCGACCUGAGAGGGGGAUAGGCCACACUGGAGCUGAGACACGGUCCAGACUCCUACGGGAGGCAGCAGUAGGGAAUCUUCCGCAAUAGGCGAAAGCCUGACGGAGCAACGCCGCGUGAAUGAUGAAGGUCUUCGGAUCGUAAAACUCUGUUAUUAGGGAAGAACAAAUGUGUAAGUAACUAUGCACGUCUUGACGGUACCUAAUCAGAAAGCCACGGCUAACUACGUG